UGGAUCCAGACUUUGAUUCUGGCUCAGGAUGAACGCUGGCGGCGUGCUUAACACAUGCAAGUCGAACGAGGAAUUUUAAAUGAGACUUCGGUGGAUUUUAAAAUUCUUAGUGGCGGACGGGUGAGUAACGCGUGGGCAACCUGCCCUGUACAGGGGGACAACAGCUGGAAACGGCUGCUAAUACCGCAUAAGCGCACAGCAUCGCAUGAUGCCGUGUGAAAAACUCCGGUGGUACAGGAUGGGCCCGCGUUGGAUUAGGUAGUUGGUGGGAUAACGGCCUACCAAGCCGACGAUCCAUAGCCGACCUGAGAGGGUGACCGGCCACAUUGGGACUGAGACACGGCCCAAACUCCUACGGGAGGCAGCAGUGGGGAAUAUUGCACAAUGGGGGAAACCCUGAUGCAGCGACGCCGCGUGAGCGAAGAAGUAUUUCGGUAUGUAAAGCUCUAUCAGCAGGGAAGAAAAUGACGGUACCUGACUAAGAAGCCCCGGCUAACUACGUGCCAGCAGCCGCGGUAAUACGUAGGGGGCAAGCGUUAUCCGGAUUUACUGGGUGUAAAGGGAGCGUAGACGGCUUUGCAAGUCUGAUGUGAAAGGCGGGGGCUCAACCCCUGGACUGCAUUGGAAACUGUGAGGCUUGAGUGCCGGAGAGGUAAGCGGAAUUCCUAGUGUAGCGGUGAAAUGCGUAGAUAUUAGGAGGAACACCAGUGGCGAAGGCGGCUUACUGGACGGUAACUGACGUUGAGGCUCGAAAGCGUGGGGAGCAAACAGGAUUAGAUACCCUGGUAGUCCACGCGGUAAACGAUGAAUACUAGGA
rnacentral:rRNA from 1 species